GUAUUCCUGUGUCCACCCGCCCUCCGAGCUGCAGCCAGGCGUCCACUGCGAGUCCUCAGAGGAAGAAGUCCUUCAGCGGCUGGGGCACCUGGGAGAGGGGGUUCACAGGAGGGGAGCCCACGCCCUCCGCUCUGUCCCCCUGCACACCAGGCAGGGCCCCUGUCCUGCCCUCUACCCGUCUCCUGCCCCCUGUCUCUACUCCCCCCUCCCCUCCCCCCCUCCAGGUCCUGUCUGUCCCUGAACGCACCUCCCAGAACCUCCACACAUCCUCAAAGGACUUAAAGGCACGCUGGAAGCAGAGGCAGAACCAGGGGAAGAGUGACUGCAGGGCCCCCGCGCCCUUCCCUCCUGCGGGACGACCCAGGAUGUGAGACCUGGGGCACUGGCGCCCCUGUGAGACCCCCCCCACCCGACACUCCGGGCCUGGGGAUGGACACUCACGGAGGUGUUCAGCAAACUCGGGGUCCAGGAGGGAGAUGACCUGGCCCAGGGUGGCCAGGUUCCUGUCCACGCCCACACCGAGCACACAGCUGUGCUCCUGCAGAGCUCUGCCACCUCCUGGCACUAUUUUCUGCAACAGGUCAGUCGUUUUCUGGAGCCAUUUUCUGGAACCGUGUCCCGGGCCAAGUCCACCAUUUGGGGAGCCUUGUUCUUGAUCUGUUUCAGUGGUUUCUGGAACCGUUUCCUAGAACUGUCCCACCAUGUUCUGGGACCACAUCACCGUUUUCCGGACCUACUUCUGGGCCCAGCUCUCCAUUUUCGGGAACUGUUUUCUGGAAGCACUUUUCUAGAACUGUUUUCACUAUUCUCUAGAACCAAUUUCUAGAACUACCCAACAAUUUCCUGGAACUAUCUUCUAGCAACGCUUUCUAGAAAUCCCCUGGUGUUUUCUGGACUGAUCUCACCACUAAUGCCGUCUCACCACUGGCCAGCCCCCCCCUGCAGUGUGGUCAGAGCAGCACCCCCGGACCCCCACAGACUGGCCCUGACCCUCAGUGCACACGGGCAGCACUGCCCCUGCAUGUCCUCCUCCCCACCCACGGCUCAGAGAUGCUCCACUGUCCAGUCCACGCUGUCCCAAAACAGGGGCUUUAGGAGCUGGGGUCCCCAAACCUGG